AGAACGAACGCUGGCGGCAUGCCUAACACAUGCAAGUCGAACGAGACCUUCGGGUCUAGUGGCGCACGGGUGCGUAACGCGUGGGAAUCUGCCCUUAGGUACGGAAUAACAGUGAGAAAUUACUGCUAAUACCGUAUGAUGUCUUCGGACCAAAGAUUUAUCGCCUAGGGAUGAGCCCGCGUAGGAUUAGCUAGUUGGUGGGGUAAAGGCCUACCAAGGCUACGAUCCUUAGCUGGUCUGAGAGGAUGAUCAGCCACACUGGGACUGAGACACGGCCCAGACUCCUACGGGAGGCAGCAGUGGGGAAUCUUCCACAAUGGGCGAAAGCCUGAUGGAGCAACGCCGCGUGCAGGAUGAAGGUCUUCGGAUCGUAAAGCCCUUUUCUGCGUGACGAAAACAGACGGUAGCGCAGGAAUAAGUCUCGGCUAACUACGUGCCAGCAGCCGC
rnacentral:rRNA from 1 species